ACCACUUCCAAGUCCUGAGCUUUACUUUCUGCAAGGCAGUGAGUCUCCUGUCUGCUAGACGCCCAUGGACCAAAGCACUCACCCUCUUCAUGGAGUCACUUCCCCGCUCGGAGCUUCUGAAUCUUUAGAUCCUGUAACAGGUUCUAAGCCUCGGAUGUAGGUAAGUUUAUCUAUAAAGUUUCAUUCUGCUCUUAAGUGGUUGGAACAGACUUUCCUUAAAGGCUGGGCUGUUCUACUGGAGUAAUGAUUUAUCAGCUUUGCAGUCACUUCCUGUAUACUGUGAAGGUUUUGUAAUACAGGUCAAUUCACAGGACAGGAAAGAAACAUCAAAAAGAAUUGAACAGAGAAAUUCUGUGUAACUUAUUUUCUUUUAAAUGCUUUCCAGUUGUCAAGAGGAGAAGCCAGUCAGCGUUUUACUGUACCAUUGGAUCUCGAUUCAUGGGAGAGCCCAGCAAAGAGCUGUAGUUUCAUUAUAAAAGGCUGUA
rnacentral:lncRNA from 1 species